rnacentral:lncRNA from 1 species
UUUUUUUUUUUUUUCUAGUAACACAAAUAGACUAACUCAGAACAUUGGUAUUGAGGAGUGGAACAUUGCUAUAAGGAUACCUGAAAAUGUGGAAGCAGCUUUGGAAUCAGGUAACAGGCAGAGAGGUUAGAAGAAUUUGGAGGACUCAGAAGAAGACAGGAAGAUGAGGGAAAGUUUGGAAUUUCUUAGAGACUAUUAAAUGGUUGUCACCAAAAUGCUGAUAGACAUAUGGACUGUGAAAGCCAGGCUGAUGAAAUCUCAGAUGGAAAUGAGAAACUUAUUGGGAACUGGUGUAAAGGUCACGCUUGUUAAAUCCUAAGAAACAACUUGGCUGCAUUGUGUUCAUGCCCUAGGGAUCUGUGGAAGGUUGACCUUAAGAGUGAUGACUUAGGGCAUCUGUGGAAGACAUUUCUAAGCAGAUGUUUCUAAGGUGUGACCUGGUUGCUUCUAACAGUCUAUGGCAACUCCGACGGCAUUUUCCAGCCACCGCAGCCACCGCAGCCACUGCAGUAACAAGACCCUGUCCUUGACUGAGUUCCAGCCAGGCUCCUCGGAGCCUCUCCACUCGGCCUCAACCUUGGCUUGUAAAGACUUGAGCAGACACUAACAGUUUCUAACAGCUUCUGGCCGUACCCCUAGGCCGACCCCUGCCCCGUCAACACCUGCCUGAGAAAGCUCCGUGCACCAGAACUCACCGUUUGGACCAACCCCGACCUCCCUUUCUCAGGGUAUCUGCUGAGAGGGCCGCAACCACACGACCUUCUAUCCGUUCCCGAUGUCUGUGCAUUUCCUGUGACCCAGGAGGGUCUUUCUCAAGACUUGAGAGCCGCUCCCUGAAGUGUCCCCAUUGGGAAGGAUGGGGCCUGUGUCUCCAGGCUCUGGGAGGACAGAAUCCUGACCUCAACAGUGGCCGGCACGGACACAGCGGGUCCCAUCCCGGGGACGCUGACCAGCGCUGGGCAACUUUUCCCUUCCCCGAAGACUGAGCCCCGAGCACCCUCCCUGCUCCCCCUACCACCUCCCUUUACAAGGCUGUGGCCUCUGCACAGAUGAAGGCCUGGGAGGAUCCAUGUCUGCCGUGGGAGCCGCCCCGCUGUGGUCCUGAGCUGACUCACACAGAUCUGACACCCACCUCUCGCUUCGGACCAUGGUUGGUUCUGGAAGGCCCUCCCUGUGGCUCUGCCUGGCCAGCCUGAGCCAGCUCCCAGCCUCGACCCAGCUUUCCCUGGAGGCCCUGUCCCCCGCAGAGUGACCAGGGCAGGCAGCACCGUGCCCAGCAGGAGGAGAAACUGCAUCCAUGUAGAAAAGAGGAGAAGCCCCGGGGGUCCAUGUAGCGACAGGGGCCAGGGAGGGUCGCUCGGGCAAUGCGUGUGGCUGCAGGA